UCAGCUGAGCCUAUAGGGCAUAUGCCAUGU
rnacentral:piRNA from 1 species